rnacentral:rRNA from 1 species
UUGGUGUUACUGCGAAGGGGGGACGGAGAAGGCUAUGUUGGCCGGGCGACGGUUGUCCCGGUUUAAGCGUGUAGGCUGGUUUUCCAGGCAAAUCCGGAAAAUCAAGGCUGAGGCGUGAUGACGAGGCACUACGGUGCUGAAGCAACAAAUGCCCUGCUUCCAGGAAAAGCCUCUAAGCAUCAGGUAACAUCAAAUCGUACCCCAAACCGACACAGGUGGUCAGGUAGAGAAUACCAAGGCGCUUGAGAGAACUCGGGUGAAGGAACUAGGCAAAAUGGUGCCGUAACUUCGGGAGAAGGCACGCUGAUAUGUAGGUGAAGUCCCUCGCGGAUGGAGCUGAAAUCAGUCGAAGAUACCAGCUGGCUGCAACUGUUUAUUAAAAACACAGCACUGUGCAAACACGAAAGUGGACGUAUACGGUGUGACGCCUGCCCGGUGCCGGAAGGUUAAUUGAUGGGGUUAGCGCAAGCGAAGCUCUUGAUCGAAGCCCCGGUAAACGGCGGCCGUAACUAUAACGGUCCUAAGGUAGCGAAAUUCCUUGUCGGGUAAGUUCCGACCUGCACGAAUGGCGUAAUGAUGGCCAGGCUGUCUCCACCCGAGACUCAGUGAAAUUGAACUCGCUGUGAAGAUGCAGUGUACCCGCGGCAAGACGGAAAGACCCCGUGAACCUUUACUAUAGCUUGACACUGAACAUUGAGCCUUGAUGUGUAGGAUAGGUGGGAGGCUUUGAAGUGUGGACGCCAGUCUGCAUGGAGCCGACCUUGAAAUACCACCCUUUAAUGUUUGAUGUUCUAACGUUGACCCGUGAUCCGGGUUGCGGACAGUGUCUGGUGGGUAGUUUGACUGGGGCGGUCUCCUCCUAAAGAGUAACGGAGGAGCACGAAGGUUGGCUAAUCCUGGUCGGACAUCAGGAGGUUAGUGCAAUGGCAUAAGCCAGCUUGACUGCGAGCGUGACGGCGCGAGCAGGUGCGAAAGCAGGUCAUAGUGAUCCGGUGGUUCUGAAUGGAAGGGCCAUCGCUCAACGGAUAAAAGGUACUCCGGGGAUAACAGGCUGAUACCGCCCAAGAGUUCAUAUCGACGGCGGUGUUUGGCACCUCGAUGUCGGCUCAUCACAUCCUGGGGCUGAAGUAGGUCCCAAGGGUAUGGCUGUUCGCCAUUUAAAGUGGUACGCGAGCUGGGUUUAGAACGUCGUGAGACAGUUCGGUCCCUAUCUGCCGUGGGCGCUGGAGAACUGAGGGGGGCUGCUCCUAGUACGAGAGGACCGGAGUGGACGCAUCACUGGUGUUCGGGUUGUCAUGCCAAUGGCACUGCCCGGUAGCUAAAUGCGGAAGAGAUAAGUGCUGAAAGCAUCUAAGCACGAAACUUGCCCCGAGAUGAGUUCUCCCUGACUCCUUGAGAGUCCUGAAGGAACGUUGAAGACGACGACGUUGAUAGGCCGGGUGUGUAAGCGCAGCGAUGCGUUGAGCUAACCGGUACUAAUGAACCGUGAGGCUUAACCUU